UACGAAGGGUGCAAGCGUUACUCGGAAUUACUGGGCGUAAAGCGUGCGUAGGCGGUUUGUUAAGUCCGUUGUGAAAGCCCUGGGCUCAACCUGGGAAUUGCAGUGGAUACUGGCGAGCUAGAGUGCGGUAGAGGAUGGUGGAAUUCCCGGUGUAGCGGUGAAAUGCGUAGAGAUCGGGAAGAACAUCGGUGGCGAAGGCGCUCUACUGGACCACAACUGACACUCAGGGACGAAAGCUAGGGGAGCGAAUGGG
rnacentral:rRNA from 1 species